CGAGGCGUAAUUGGGCUCAAUUCAACAAAGAGGAACCUGGGACCCGCGGUCCUUUGAAUAACAAGGAAUCUACGCGUUGGUUGGUCGGCAGAAUUCUGCAUGAGGGUCAAUCUUAAUCUAGAUCCAUCCACCGGUCACUCGGCUCCUUUUCCUGGUCUUUAGGCGGCUCUGGACUGCUUAAAAAUAAAGUACCGCCUUUGUUAAGGAUCAGCUUGUCCGCCCCCUUGCAACCCGGACCACUGCGCGGCGAGCACAAUGCGACCACGCUUGUUAUUUUCGCCACCAGGGCGCGCUCGCCGCGGAUCUGCCGUUGCGGUCCCUUUUAGGGCAAAGCAAAGGGCGCAAACUGCGACCUUUCACCCUUUGGCGUAAUAGGCACAUGACCCAUGAACGUCUAACCCGUCUUACCGGGAUUCCCGGCUAAAGGGCUAAAAUGGAGCCUUUUGGCAGCGCUCCGUGCGCAGCCGCCCCGUCAAUGGGGCCCGCACCCGUUUCACCUGGGCUCUGCCCACUUCCACCAAUUAAAAUUACAUCUUCUCUCGAGUUCAUUGUCUCAAGUUCUUCACCUUCUGCGUUCAUUGCCGCAAGUUCUACCAGCUCAUGUAAGUAUUCGGAGUCGCUAAGCAUUUCGGCACUCCUCUCCUUCAUUCGGCGCUACGUCUCAUACGGCGCCAAGACUUCUUCAACAGGGUUGCUACGUUGCCACGUUUUUCGGCACCCUCCCUCGGCGCCAGGCCUUGCGGCGCUUAGAUUUCUCCUCUACGGUGCUACGUUACAUACGGCACUAUGUUCUUUCUUCCGCGGGGUUGCCAGGUUUUCGGCGCUCUGCUUUCGGCGUCACGUUGAAUACGGCGCUAAAACACCUUCACAACAGGGUUGCCACGACUUUCGGCACCCUGCUUCGGCGUUAAGCUUUACGGCGCUAAGAACUCUUUUCUCAAGGGCGUUCCUCACUCUCACGCCCACUCUUUCUCUCUCCCCUUCUCUCUACUUCACAUUCUCUCAAUUUCUCCGUCAACCAACCACUCUUUCUCAUUCUACAUCUCUUCUUCUUUCUCUUCCAAAGUUAUUCUUGUUGCCUGCCUUUUAGGUGGUUGCCUGCGAGACUAUCCUCGGGAUGACUUCUUUUCUUCUUCUCUUUCCUAUCCCACUUUUCUAGAUGUUCUCUAACAUUAAACGUUCUUCUUUCUCUUCCUAAGUUAUUCUUGUUGCCCUGCCUUUUAGGUGGCUGCCUGCGAGACUAUCCUCGGGAUGACUUCUUUUCUUCUUCUCUUUCCUAUCCAACUUUUCUAGGUGUUCUCUAACAUUAAAUGGUCCCUCGGGCCGGAUUCACUGUGCAUCCGGUGAGAUUGUGACACUGGCACUAAGGUGUUACUUUCCAUUUUAACCUUCAUUCUCUUACAAAUCUUUCAAACAGAAUAAAUAAAGUAUUAUUCUCAGUCAACAAACCAGUCGACUUUUGCUACGUUUGGUCAUCGUUGUUUCCCCGGCAAUAUGGUGAAAACACGAAAAAACCGUCAACAAAGCUUCAGCGACGAGAAUACAAGGGAAACCCUUGUUAAUCAAAAUGCCCCUUCAAACAAGGAAAAGGCAGCUACUCUUGCAGCAAAACGGGCAGCGGUUGUCGACGAUGUCUAUUCACUUCUAGACGUCUUCGAAACGAAACUUUCCGUCGAUAAUUUCUAUCAAUUCGAGACCGUUUUUGAGCAUCUCACCGCGCAGAAAGCCAAGUUCGAAGAGAUCCAGGCAGAGAUCUUCGCAGUAAAUUCAGCCCUACCGGAAAACUCUCAAAUUGAGACGCAAUCCAGUCAACGUGAAUUUUUCAAGCUGUUUUAUCUCACUGAAACGACGUAUCUCUCUCAAAACCCAGACCAGUUGAAAGUCUGAACAGCU
rnacentral:lncRNA from 1 species